rnacentral:rRNA from 1 species
UACGUAGGUGGCAAGCGUUGUCCGGAUUUACUGGGCGUAAAGGGCGUGCAGGCGGUCUGUUAAGUGCAGGGUGAAAGCUCCCGGCUCAACUGGGAGAGGUCCUUGCAUACUGGCGGACUUGAGGGGGGUAGAGGAAAGUGGAAUUCCCGGUGUAGUGGUGAUAUGCGUAGAUAUCGGGAAGAACACCCGUGGCGAAGGCGGCUCUCUGGGACGGUACUGACGCUGAGACGCGAAAGCGUGGGGAGCGAACAGG